AUGCGAUACGUAAUGUGAAUUGCAGAAUCCAGUGAAUCAUCGAAUCUUUGAACGCACAUUGCGCCCGCUAGUAUUCUGGCGGGCAUGCCUGUCCGAGCGUCAUUUCAACCAUCAAGCCUAGUGCUUGUGUUGGGGCCCCGCGGCUGCCGCGGGCCCUGAAAACUAGUGGCGGGCUCGAAGUCGAACCGAGUGCAGUAAAUUUCUUCGCUUGGGAAGGUGACGAGUUCCGGCCGUAAAAAGCCCAACUUUAUCAAGGUUGACCUCGGAUCAGGUAGGAUUACCCGCUGAACUUAA
rnacentral:misc_RNA from 1 species